AUUUCCUGUUUACAGUGACAGACUUCACAUCGUAGACAGCAGCAGCAGUAAAGAAGACAAUGCACGGAGGUUUUUACAUCGAUAUGUACGGCGUUUUGAUCACUGUUCUGUCGUCUAACAAACUGUUAAACUUAUCAAACGGAAGAUUACGGUGUCUUUCAGGAAGGCUCCAUCAGGUAAUAUACCUGACACCCAAUCCAUGUUAUCAUUACAGUAAUCUCGUGGCGAUGGAGGAGGACGAGGAGCUGGAGAGAGGGAUGCUGAAUCUCUCUCCAUCUAAAGUUGACACUGAACUAAGGCCAGCAGCAGCAGCAGUCUCCAGAGCCCCGGCUGUGUCUCCACCAACAGCACACAGGACGGAGCCAAC